GCCACAUUCCUCCUGUGCCUGUUCCCUGGGGAUUUCAGGUUUGCUCCCUUGCAAUCUUCCCCACACAGCUCGGUGCCUGUGCAUCAAGCAAAAGAAGCCUGGAGGAAAUGUGUUUGAAUUCUGCAGUCCUGCAUUGUGAGGAGAUGAAUAACAUGAAAGAAUAGAGCAGAAACCAGUGAACCUGAGGGACUUCAAUGAAACUGAACGUGGGCACCAGAUCUGUGAAGAUGGCUGGAAAUGGUCCGUGGAGAAUUCCAAGGAAGGCAGCUUUGAAC